GCCUGGGUGGCUCAGCGGUUUAGCGCCUGCCUUUGGCCCAGGGCAUGAUCCUGGAGACUCGGGAUCGAGUCCCACCUCAGGCU
rnacentral:tRNA from 1 species